GACGAACGCUGGCGGCGUGCUUAACACAUGCAAGUCGAACGGAAAGGCCCUGCUUUUGUGGGGUGCUCGAGUGGCGAACGGGCGAGUAACACGUGAGUAACCUGCCCUUGUCUUUGGGAUAACUUCAGGAAACUGGGGCUCAUACCGGAUAGGAGCUCCUGCUGCAUGGUGGGGGUUGGAAAGAUUCGGCGGUUGGGGAUGGACUAGCGGCUUAUCAGCUUGUUGGUGGGGUAGUGGCUUACCAAGGCUUGGACGGGUAGCCGGCCUGAGAGGGUGACCGGCGACAUUGGGACUGAGGGACGGCCCAGACUCCUACGGGAGGCAGCAGUGGGGAAUAUUGCAGAAGGGGCGGAAGCCGGAUGCAGCAACGCCGCGUGCGGGAAGACGGCCUUCGGGUUGUAAACCGCUUUCGCCUGUGACGAAGCGUGAGUGACGGGAAUGUGUAAAGAAGCACCGGCUAACUACGUG
rnacentral:rRNA from 1 species